rnacentral:rRNA from 1 species
AUUGAACGCUGGCGGCAGGCCUAACACAUGCAAGUCGAACGAGUGGCGGAAGGGUGAUUAAUGUCUGGGAAACUGCCUGAUGGAGGGGGAUAACUACUGGAAACGGUAGCUAAUACCGCAUACCAUCAGAUGUGCCCAGAUGGGAUUAGCUAGUAGGUGGGGUAAUGGUUCACCUAGGCGACGAUCCCUAGCUGGUCUGCGAGGAUGACCAGCCAUAAGGGAACUUAGACACGGUCCAGACUCAUACGGGAGGCAGCAGUGGGGAAUAUUGCACAAUGGGCGCAAGCCGUAUGCAGCCAUGCCGCGUGUGUGAAGAAGGCCUUCGGGUUGUAAAGCACUUUCAGCGAGGAGGCGUUACUCGCAGAAGAAGCACCGGAUAAGUCCGUGCCAGCAGCCGCGGUAAUUC